rnacentral:rRNA from 1 species
UAACCUGCCCAAGAGAUCGGGAUAACACCUGGAAACAGAUGCUAAUACCGGAUAANAACAGAUGAUGCCUAUCAACUGUUUAAAAGAUGGUUCUGCUAUCACUCUUGGAUGGACCUGCGGUGCAUUAGCUAGUUGGUAGGGUAACGGCCUACCAAGGCGAUGAUGCAUAGCCGAGUUGAGAGACUGAUCGGCCACAUUGGGACUGAGACACGGCCCAAACUCCUACGGGAGGCAGCAGCG